AUUGAACGCUGGCGGCAUGCUUUACACAUGCAAGUCGAACGGUAACAGGCCGCAAGGUGCUGACGAGUGGCGAACGGGUGAGUAAUGCAUCGGAACGUGCCCAGUCGUGGGGGAUAACGCAGCGAAAGCUGCGCUAAUACCGCAUACGAUCUAUGGAUGAAAGCGGGGGACCGUAAGGCCUCGCGCGAUUGGAGCGGCCGAUGGCAGAUUAGGUAGUUGGGGGGGUAAAGGCCCACCAAGCCAACGAACUGUAGCUGGUCUGAGAGGACGACCAGCCACACUGGGACUGAGACACGGCCCAGACUCCUACGGGAGGCAGCAGUGGGGAAGUUUGGACAAGGGGCGCAAGCCUGAUCCAGCAAUGCCGCGUGCAGGAAGAAGGCCUUCGGGUUGUAAACUGCUUUUGUACGGAACGAAACGGCUCUCACUAAUACUGGGGGCUAAUGACGGUACCGUAAGAAUAAGCACCGGCUAACUACGUGCCAGCCGCCGCCGUAAUAC
rnacentral:rRNA from 1 species